rnacentral:rRNA from 1 species
UACGUAGGGGGCUAGCGUUGCUCGGAAUUACUGGGCGUAAAGCGCACGUAGGCGGCUUUAUAAGUCGGGGGUGAAAUCCUGGAGCUCAACUCCAGAACUGCCUUCGAUACUGGAAAGCUCGAGUCCGGGAGAGGUGAGUGGAACUGCGAGUGUAGAGGUGAAAUUCGUAGAUAUUCGGAAGAACACCAGUGGCGAAGGCGGCUCACUGGCCCGGUACUGACGCUGAAAUACGAAAGCGUGGGGAGCAAACAGG